UAAAAUAAAAUUUUAAGAAUUUUUAAAUGCAUAAAAGUAUUUUUGAACCAAUUAAAACAAAGGAGAAAAGAGAAAAUUCAAGAAAAAUAGAAAAUCAAGAAAAUAAAAUAUGGAAAAAUAAAAAACAGAUGAAGAAAAAUAAAAGAAAAUUUUAGAAAUCAUUUUGGGAUUUUUGUGAUAAAAGAUGAAUUUUCUAUGAAUUUUAAAAUAAAAUGCAAUUUAAAAUAGAAAAAGAAAA
rnacentral:lncRNA from 1 species